CAUUCCCACCACACAUUUCGCUCCACCUUAUCUCCCCUCUUUGGCUAGCUCACUCAUUUCACUUCUUUUCUAUUUUUUUUUUUCAUUUUCUCUCAUACACUCCUCUCUACUCUUAUGUCCUCUCUCAUCGGUACUUCCACACUACCACCAUUUCCACCAUCAUUUUCUGGCAAGAUCACCGGAAAAUUCCUGAGAACCUAUAAACACCUUCACAUCCUUUUUUAAGGUUCUAACUAAUCUUCUUGGAGCUUGGAGAAUUAGGCUUUUGCAGUUGUAAGGUAAGUAGCUUUUAAUGGGAUUUUUGAACAAUAAUCAUGUUGCAUAAAUGUUGUUUUUUGGUUAGACACGCUUUUGGAAACUACCUAUGGAAACUAUAUUUUCCUAAAAACUAUUGUGUCAUAACCUUAAUAUAUAUAUAUAUAUAUAUAUAUAUGAUUAUAUAUGAAAAUGCAUCAUAUUUGGUAUUGCAUUUGGGGAAAUGCAUGAAUUGUUGACAUGGAAAAUGAGCAUCUUUUAUUUAAUUUUUGAUAAGGAAAUCAUGGAUUUUAUGGUAUAUUAUAAAAUUUAAAAAUGCUUAUCUUGUCUUGUUAUGUGGGAAAUUGAUAGAAAAUCUCUUGACAAGAAUGAAGUUGAAAACCUUACAAACUUUGUAGAGGUUAGAUUAUUUAAGAUUUUUCUGAAACUAUCUGGAUAUAAACUAUGUGUUUCAAAGUAAUGUAACCUGUGAGCUUAUUUGGUUUUAACACCAUGCCAUGUCUGAUUACCUGAUUUGGUUUCCGUUGUCUUUGUGACAAUGGAAUCAAAUCCACGUCAGUGCCCUUUCACUUUGGAUGACGCGUUUUUUCCUACUGCCCAUGGGGGAAGAGGUUCCUUGAUUGUGUGUGGAUGAGGUUGUUGCCCAUGGGGCCAAGAGAUCACAUGCAAGAGAGGUCCUAUUUGACGCGCUCUCUCUGCUGCCCAUGGGGGGAGAGAAAAACCUUGAGGUUAUGGGUGAGGCUGCUGUCCAUAGGGCCAAGAGUCUGCAUACCAGAAAGGACAAUAUCAUGUCAGUUGUGAAUGGGUGGAUUCCCUGACCGGUCUAUGUGGUAGUGUGGUAUAUUUGUGAUAAUUUACCUUAUAUUAAAUAUUAUGGCUUUGAAAAUUAUAUUGUUGGUGCUCACAGAUUAUAGUAAAUAGUUUUAAGGUAUUUACUUUGAGAAACUUUGUGUUUCAUUAUUCAAUCAUUCUUGUCAUAUCAUAUUACUAUUAUUGAAAAUGGAAUUUGCAUUUCCCCCACCCCCAUUAAUUAUGCUAUUUACUGAGCUCUGUCUCAUUCCAUUAUUUUAUAAACUUUUCAGAGUAGGCAACAAUCUUUUAAGACAUUUUUUUGGUGGCUAACAAUAGUUAGACUAACUACUAAUGGAGGCUGAAUUUUUGUUAUGGAGAUAUUAGAUGACGUACAUCUUAGAAUAGGUUUGACUCAUUCUUUUGUAUAUUAUAGUGGUUGUGACGUUAUUCCCACUGAUGGGACAAGCUGAUGAUAUGUAAUUAUUUAUUCAGACCUCUAUUAUUUUGUGGUCAAUAGUCCUUGUAAUUAUUGCUUAGAGCUCUGACUUACUUUGAGAGUAUAUUCAAUGGAAUUAUUAUGAUAA